rnacentral:rRNA from 1 species
GACGAACGCUGGCGGCGUGCCUAAUACAUGCAAGUAGAACGCUGAAGAGAGGAGCUUGCUCUUCUUGGAUGAGUUGCGAACGGGUGAGUAACGCGUAGGUAACCUGCCUUGUAGCGGGGGAUAACUAUUGGAAACGAUAGCUAAUACCGCAUAACAAUGGAUGACACAUGUCAUUUAUUUGAAAGGGGCAAUUGCUCCACUACAAGAUGGACCUGCGUUGUAUUAGCUAGUAGGUGAGGUAAUGGCUCACCUAGGCGACGAUACAUAGCCGACCUGAGAGGGUGAUCGGCCACACUGGGACUGAGACACGGCCCAGACUCCUACGGGAGGCAGCAGUAGGGAAUCUUCGGCAAUGGGGGCAACCCUGACCGAGCAACGCCGCGUGAGUGAAGAACGUUUUCGGACCGUAAAGCUCUGUUGUAAGUCAAGAACGGGUGUGAGAGUGGAAAGUUCACACUGUGACGGUAGCUUACCAGAAAGGGACGGCUAACUACGUG